UCUUGGUCAAUUAGAGGAAGUAAAAGUCGUAACAAGGUCUCCGUAGGUGAACCUGCGGAGGGAUCAUUACAAGUUGACCCCGGCCCUCGGGCCGGGAUGUUCACAACCCUUUGUUGUCCGACUCUGUUGCCUCCGGGGCGACCCUGCCUCCGGGCGGGGGGAUCUCUUGGUUCUGGCAUCGAUGAAGAACGCAGCGAAAUGCGAUAAGUAAUGUGAAUUGCAGAAUUCAGUGAAUCAUCGAAUCUUUGAACGCACAUUGCGCCCCCUGGUAUUCCGGGGGGCAUGCCUGUUCGAGCGUCAUUUCACCACUCAAGCCUCGCUUGGUAUUGGGCGACGCGGUCCGCCGCGCGCCUCAAAUCGACCGGCUGGGUCUUUCGUCCCCUCAGCGUUGUGGAAACUAUUCGCUAAAGGGUGCCGCGGGGGGCCACGCCGUGAAACAACCCCAUUUCUAAGGUUGACCUCGGAUCAGGUAGGGAUACCCGCUGA
rnacentral:rRNA from 1 species